CGUAAACAAAGGGAAGCAAGCAUGUGAGUGUAAGCAAAUCUCAAAAAUAACGUCUCAGUUCGGAUUGUAGUCUGCAACCCGACUACAUGAAGCUGGAAUCGCUAGUAAUCGCGAAUCAGAAUGUCGCGGUGAAUACGUUCCCGGGUCUUGUACACACCGCCCGUCACACCAUGGGAGUCGGUAACGCCCGAAGCCUGUGACCCAACCUAAUAGGAGGGAGCAGUCGAAGGUGGGACCGGUGACUGGGGUGAAGUCGUAACAAGGUAAC
rnacentral:rRNA from 1 species